rnacentral:rRNA from 1 species
GACGGAGGGGGCUAGCGUUGUUCGGAUUUACUGGGCGUAAAGCGCGCGUAGGCGGCUUUGUAAGUGAGAGGUGAAAGCCCGGGGCUCAACUCCGGAACUGCCUUUAAGACUGCAUCGCUUGAAUCCGGGAGAGGUGAGUGGAAUUCCGAGUGUAGAGGUGAAAUUCGUAGAUAUUCGGAAGAACACCAGUGGCGAAGGCGGCUCACUGGACCGGUAUUGACGCUGAGGUGCGAAAGCGUGGGGAGCAAACAGG